GGGAAUGUGGCUCAGUGGUAGAGUGCUUGCCUGGCAUGCAUGAAGCCUUGGUUCGAUUCCUCAGUACCA
rnacentral:tRNA from 1 species